AGCUCUGUGGUGUAGUCCACAUUGAAUUGCAAAUUCAAAGAAGUAGCUUCAAUCCUGCCGGGGCUU
rnacentral:tRNA from 1 species